rnacentral:rRNA from 1 species
GCCAGUGGUGAUGCAUUGAAUGCACUUGAUCCCAAUAGAUCACCAAAGUUAAGCUACGUUUAGGUGGUUGGUAUCAUGAUGGGUGACCAUCUGUUACUUGCUGCUGUCUUUUCCC